UGUGAAAAAUUGUGCACAUCCUGCUACAAGCAUGAAAUUUGGCAUAGACCUUCCUCAACUAUUACUCUUUUAUUUCAGAUAGGGAGGCAUUUGAAAAAAAGUGUCUCACUUCCGGUAAAAUCCAAAAUGGCGGACAUCAUACUUAAAUUCGCCCAAUAUCGAAGGCUAGUGUGUAAAAUGGUGUUUUUAUCAUACUACUAUCAUAAUAUAUGAUACAAACCUUUGUUAUGCACUACUUUUGGAUCAAUUAAAUAGAUGAGAUGUCUUUAAUAGCCCUACUUCUGGUAAAAUCCAACAUGGCAGACAUUGUACUAAAAUAAGCUUAUUUUUUAGAAAGAGUUAUAAAUGAGUUUUAACGUAUUGCCACUAUCAUUACAUUGUGCAGGAACCUUUCUUUGGUGCUUCUCACAUUGAUACAAUGUA
rnacentral:lncRNA from 1 species